rnacentral:rRNA from 1 species
UGGGGAAUUUUGGACAAUGGGCGAAAGCCUGAUCCAGCAAUGCCGCGUGUGUGAAGAAGGCCUUCGGGUUGUAAAGCACUUUUGUCCGGAAAGAAAUCCUUGGCUCUAAUACAGUCGGGGGAUGACGGUACCGGAAGAAUAAGCACCGGCUAACUACGUGCCAGCAGCCGCGGUAAUACGUAGGGUGCAAGCGUUAAUCGGAAUUACUGGGCGUAAAGCGUGCGCAGGCGGUUUGCUAAGACCGAUGUGAAAUCCCCGGGCUCAACCUGGGAACUGCAUUGGUGACUGGCAGGCUAGAGUAUGGCAGAGGGGGGUAGAAUUCCACGUGUAGCAGUGAAAUGCGUAGAGAUGUGGAGGAAUACCGAUGGCGAAGGCAGCCCCCUGGGCCAAUACUGACGCUCAUGCACGAAAGCGUGGGGAGCAAACAGGAUUAGAUACCCUGGUAGUCCACGCCCUAAACGAUGUCAACUAGUUGUUGGGGAUUCAUUUCCUUAGUAACGUAGCUAACGCGUGAAGUUGACCGCCUGGGGAGUACGGUCGCAAGAUUAAAACUCAAAUGAAUUGACGGGGUCAUACUGUUU